UACGUAGGCAGCAAGCGUUGUUCGGAGUUACUGGGCGUAAAGAGCGUGUAGGCGGCCAGGUAGGUCCGUUGUGAAAACUCGAGGCUCAACCUCGAGACGUCGAUGGAAACCAUCUGGCUAGAGUCCGGAAGAGGAGAGUGGAAUUCCUGGUGUAGCGGUGAAAUGCGCAGAUAUCAGGAAGAACACCCGUGGCGAAGGCGGCUCUCUGGGACGGUACUGACGCUGAGACGCGAAAGCGUGGGGAGCGAACAGG
rnacentral:rRNA from 1 species